UACGUAGGGACCAAGCGUUGUUCGGAUUUACUGGGCGUAAAGGGCGCGUAGGCGGCAAUUCAAGUCAGCUGUGAAAUCUCCGGGCUUAACUCGGAACGGUCAGCUGAUACUGCUUUGCUAGAGUGCAGAAGGGGCAAUCGGAAUUCUUGGUGUAGCGGUGAAAUGCGUAGAUAUCAAGAGGAACACCUGAGGUGAAGACGGGUUGCUGGGCUGAUACUGACGCUGAGGCGCGAAAGCCAGGGGAGCGAACGGG
rnacentral:rRNA from 1 species